rnacentral:rRNA from 1 species
UAGGGAAUCUUCGGCAAUGGACGAAAGUCUGACCGAGCAACGCCGCGUGAGUGAAGAAGGUUUUCGGAUCGUAAAACUCUGUUGUUAGAGAAGAACAAGUACGUUAGUAACUGAACGUCCCCUGACGGUAUCUAACCAGAAAGCCACGGCUAACUACGUGCCAGCAGCCGCGGUAAUACGUAGGUGGCAAGCGUUGUCCGGAUUUAUUGGGCGUAAAGCGAGCGCAGGCGGUUUCUUAAGUCUGAUGUGAAAGCCCCCGGCUCAACCGGGGAGGGUCAUUGGAAACUGGGAGGCUUGAGUGCAGAAGAGGAGAGUGGAAUUCCAUGUGUAGCGGUGAAAUGCGUAGAUAUAUGGAGGAACACCAGUGGCGAAGGCGGCUCUCUGGUCUGUAACUGACGCUGAGGCUCGAAAGCGUGGGGAGCAAACAGG